rnacentral:rRNA from 1 species
UACGGAGGGUGCGAGCGUUGUCCGGAAUCAUUGGGCGUAAAGGGCGCGUAGGUGGCGGGACAAGCGUGCGGUGAAAGCUCGGGGCUCAACCCCGCGUCGGCCGUGCGAACUGUUUUGCUUGAGCACUGUAGAGGCAGGCGGAAUUCCGGGUGUAGCGGUGGAAUGCGUAGAUAUCUGGAGGAACACCGGUGGCGAAGGCGGCAUCCUGGACCGAUACUGACGCUGAGGAGCGAAAGCCAGGGGAGCAAAGCGGG